GAUGAAGAACGUAGCGAAAUGCGAUAAGUAAUGUGAAUUGCAGAAUUCAGUGAAUCAUCGAAUCUUUGAACGCACCUUGCACUCCUUGGUAUUCCGAGGAGUACGCCUGUUCGAGUGUUAUGAAGCUCUCAAAACGCAAUUGGCUUAAAACCUGAUUGUUGUUUUGGAUUUGAACUUUGCCGUGUUAUAACGGCUGGUUUUAAAAGUAUUAGCUGGUACUAGAACGAAUUGGUUCUACUCAACGUGAUAAUUAUCUGAUCGUUGAGGACAUUCCUUUCACGAGGAAUGGCCAUAGUAAAUUCAAUGGACUGCUUCUAAUCUGGCUUUAAUUCUUUAUUGGAUUAACCACUUUUCAAAUCUGACCUCGAAUCAGGUGGGACUACCCACUGAACUUAAGCAUAUCAAUAAGCGGAGGA
rnacentral:misc_RNA from 1 species